rnacentral:rRNA from 1 species
AGUGAACGCUGGCGGUAGGCCUAACACAUGCAAGUCGAACGGCAGCACAGUAAGAGCUUGCUCUUACGGGUGGCGAGUGGCGGACGGGUGAGGAAUACAUCGGAAUCUACUUUUUCGUGGGGGAUAACGUAGGGAAACUUACGCUAAUACCGCAUACGACCUACGGGUGAAAGCAGGGGAUCUUCGGACCUUGCGCGAUUGAAUGAGCCGAUGUCGGAUUAGCUAGUUGGCGGGGUAAAGGCCCACCAAGGCGACGAUCCGUAGCUGGUCUGAGAGGAUGAUCAGCCACACUGGACUGAGACACGGUCCAGACUCCUACGGGAGGCAGCAGUGGGGAAUAUUGGACAAUGGGCGCAAGCCUGAUCCAGCCAUACCGCGUGGGUGAAGAAGGCCUUCGGGUUGUAAAGCCCUUUUGUUGGGAAAGAAAAGCAGCAGGUUAAUACCCCGCUGUUCUGACGGUACCCAAAGAAUAAGCACCGGCUAACUUCGUG